GAUUAAAUGAUUAAUUGCUGGUGUAGAUCUGGUAAAACUUUAAUUAAAUUGGUUUCAUUUUCUAUAAUUAUUACUUUAAUUUAUUAUUUUUUGGUUAGAUUUCUUUUAUUUGGAUUUAUAUUUAUAUUUAAUUUUCUCAAUCCUGAUUUUGAAUGGCAAAAUCCUCAACCACACAUAAAAGGAUGGGAUAAGAGAAUAUAUUUUAUUUAUUUAUUUUUAUUUAUUUCCAGAUCUUGAUUUUAUUCACAUGUGACAUAUAAAAUGUGUCAAUUUCUUGGUAAUUUAAAACCCUUUAAUUAAAUUAAUUGAAAUUAUUUAUUAUCAUUAAUUGUGAAUGUAAAUAGUUUAUUGGUGAAUAGUUACUACAUACAAUUAUCAUUUUAAUUUUGUACAGGCUGUAUUCUUAUCUAGAGCAUGAAUAUUGCUGGUUCUUGCAAGCUGUUUAUAUUAUAAUGCUGAUGAGUACAAUAAUAUUAAUAUGUAGUCCAGUGAUUUAUUUAUUUUUCAAUAAUUUCUGGCAAGAGAUGUAUGUUUGUUUGUUGGACCACACAAAUUGCAUUGCCUUAAAAGC
rnacentral:lncRNA from 1 species